rnacentral:rRNA from 1 species
GAUGAACGCUAGCUACAGGCUUAACACAUGCAAGUCGAGGGGCAGCAUGGUCUUAGCUUGCUAAGGCCGAUGGCGACCGGCGCACGGGUGAGUAACACGUAUCCAACCUGCCGUCUACUCUUGGACAGCCUUCUGAAAGGAAGAUUAAUACAAGAUGGCAUCAUGAGUCCGCAUGUUCACAUGAUUAAAGGUAUUCCGGUAGACGAUGGGGAUGCGUUCCAUUAGAUAGUAGGCGGGGUAACGGCCCACCUAGUCUUCGAUGGAUAGGGGUUCUGAGAGGAAGGUCCCCCACAUUGGAACUGAGACACGGUACAAACUCCUACGGGAGGCAGCAGUGAGGAAUAUUGGUCAAUGGGCGCAGGCCUGAACCAGCCAAGUAGCGUGAAGGAUGACUGCACUAUGGGUUGUAAACUUCUUUUAUAAAGGAAUAAAGUCGGGUAUGUAUACCCGUUUGCAUGUACUUUAUGAAUAAGGAUCGGCUAACUCCGU